rnacentral:rRNA from 1 species
AGCGAACGCUGGCGGCAGGCCUAACACAUGCAAGUCGAACGAUCCUUCGGGAUAGUGGCGGACGGGUGAGUAACACGUGGGAACGUGCCCUUUGGUUCGGAACAACUCAGGGAAACUUGAGCUAAUACCGGAUGUGCCCUUCGGGGGAAAGAUUUAUCGCCAUUGGAGCGGCCCGCGUCUGAUUAGCUAGUUGGUGGGGUAAAGGCCCACCAAGGCGACGAUCAGUAGCUGGCCUGAGAGGAUGAUCAGCCACAUUGGGACUGAGACACGGCCCAAACUCCUACGGGAGGCAGCAGUGGGGAAUCUUGCGCAAUGGGCGAAAGCCUGACGCAGCCAUGCCGCGUGAAUGAUGAAGGUCUUAGGAUUGUAAAAUUCUUUCACCGGGGACGAUAAUGACGGUACCCGGAGAAGAAGCCCCGGCUAACUUCGUGCCAGCAGCCGCUGUAAUAC